GGGCCGUGAUGAAGAAAACUGUGCCGGAGUGAGUCAUCUUUUGUCUCGCGAUGAUGGCGCAAUCCUCUAAGAAGUUCUGAGCUC